UAAUACGGAGGGUGCAAGCGUUGUCCGGAUUUAUUGGGUUUAAAGGGUGCGUAGGUGGCCCGUUAAGUCCGGGGUGAAAGCCCACAGCUCAACUGUGGAACUGCCCUGGAUACUGGCGGGCUUGAGAGUAGUCGAGGGUGGCGGAAUGGACGGUGUAGCGGUGAAAUGCAUAGAUACCGUCCAGAACCCCAAUUGCGUAGGCAGCUGCCUAGGCUACAUCUGACACUGAGGCACGAAAGCGUGGGGAGCGAACAGGAUUAGAUACCCUGGUAGUCCACGCCGUAAACGAUGGAUACUCGUUGCCAGCGAUAGACUGUUGGUGACUUAGCGAAAGCGUUAAGUAUCCCACCUGGGGAGUACGCUCGCAAGAGUG
rnacentral:rRNA from 1 species